rnacentral:rRNA from 1 species
UACGUAGGGACCGAGCGUUGUCCGGAAUCAUUGGGCGUAAAGAGCGUGUAGGCGGCCAACUAAGUCCUGCGUGAAAUCUCGGGGCUCAACCCCGAGCGGUCGUGGGAAACUGGUUGGCUAGAGUGCGGGAGAGGAGAGUGGAAUUCCUAGUGUAGAGGUGAAAUUCGUAGAUAUUAGGAGGAAUACCGGUGGCGAAGGCGGCCUUCUGGGACCAUUCCUGACACUGAGACGCGAAAGCGUGGGUAGCAAACAGG